UCGAGCGAACAGACGAGGAGCUUGCUUCUCUGACGUUAGCGGCGGACGGGUGAGUAACACGUGGAUAACCUACCUAUAAGACUGGGAUAACUUCGGGAAACCGGAGCUAAUACCGGAUAAUAUAUUGAACCGCAUGGUUCAAUAGUGAAAGACGGUUUUGCUGUCACUUAUAGAUGGAUCCGCGCCGCAUUAGCUAGUUGGUAAGGUAACGGCUUACCAAGGCAAAGAUGCGUAGCCGACCUGAGAGGGUGAUCGGCCACACUGGAACUGAGACACGGUCCAGACUCCUACGGGAGGCAGCAGUAGGGAAUCUUCCGCAAUGGGCGAAAGCCUGACGGAGCAACGCCGCGUGAGUGAUGAAGGUCUUCGGAUCGUAAAACUCUGUUAUUAGGGAAGAACAAAUGUGUAAGUAACUAUGCACGUCUUGACGGUACCUAAUCAGAAAGCCACGGCUAACUACGUGCCAGCAGCCGCGGUAAUACGUAGGUGGCAAGCGUUAUCCGGAAUUAUUGGGCGUAAAGCGCGCGUAGGCGGUUUUUUAAGUCUGAUGUGAAAGCCCACGGCUCAACCGUGGAGGGUCAUUGGAAACUGGAAAACUUGAGUGCAGAAGAGGAAAGUGGAAUUCCAUGUGUAGCGGUGAAAUGCGCAGAGAUAUGGAGGAACACCAGUGGCGAAGGCGACUUUCUGGUCUGUAACUGACGCUGAUGUGCGAAAGCGUGGGGAUCAAACA
rnacentral:rRNA from 1 species